rnacentral:rRNA from 1 species
UACGUAGGGGGCAAGCGUUGUCCGGAAUUAUUGGGCGUAAAGAGCUCGUAGGCGGUUUGUCGCGUCUGCCGUGAAAGUCCGGGGCUUAACUCCGGAUCUGCGGUGGGUACGGGCAGACUAGAGUGAUGUAGGGGAGACUGGAAUUCCUGGUGUAGCGGUGAAAUGCGCAGAUAUCAGGAGGAACACCGAUGGCGAAGGCAGGUCUCUGGGCAUUUACUGACGCUGAGGAGCGAAAGCAUGGGGAGCGAACAGG